rnacentral:rRNA from 1 species
CCUACGGGUGGCAGCAGUGGGGAAUAUUGCACAAUGGGCGAAAGCCUGAUGCAGCAACGCCGCGUGAGCGAUGAAGGCCUUCGGGUCGUAAAGCCCUGUCCUCAAAGAAGAUAAUGCCGGUACUUGAGGAGGAAGCCCCGGCUAACUACGUGCCAGCAGCCGCGGUAAUAGGUAGGGGGCUAGCGUUAUCCGGAAUUACUGGGCGUUAAGGGUGCGUAGGUGGUUUCUUAAGUCAGAGGUGAACGGCUACGGCUCAACCGUAGUACGCCUUUGAAACUGGGAGACUUGAGUGCAGGAGAGGCAAGUGGAAUUCCUAGUGUAGCGGUGAAAUGCGUAGAUAUUAGGAGGAACACCGGUUGCGAAGGCGGCUCUCUGGACUGUAACUGACGCUGAGGCACGAAAGCGUGGGGAGCAAACAGGAUUAGAUACCCCUGUAGUC